UACGGGGGGAGCAAGCGUUGUUCGGAUUUACUGGGCGUAAAGGGCGCGUAGGCGGUCAGCACAAGUCAAUUGUGAAAUCUCCGAGCUUAACUCGGAAAGGUCAACUGAAACUGUGCGACUAGAGUGCGGAAGGGGCAACUGGAAUUCUUGGUGUAGCGGUGAAAUGCGUAGAUAUCAAGAGGAACACCUGCGGCGAAGGCGGGUUGCUGGGCCGACACUGACGCUGAAGCGCGAAAGCCAGGGGAGCGAACGGGG
rnacentral:rRNA from 1 species